rnacentral:sRNA from 5 species
CGAGCGUCAGCGAGAAAGCGUUGCCGCAGGCAACGACCCGAAGGGCGAAGCGCGCAGCGCUGAGUCAUCCUUCCCCCACCACCA